CACUCACCAGGGGCCAGACACCAUGCUAAAUGCUUUAGUUGCAUUAUCUCCUUAACUCUUGAUACCACCACUACCCACGCCCUCCAGGGAGCUAUAAUUCUCUCUAAUAAAGGCAGAGAGCAGUGAAGUGACUUGGUCCAGUUAACACAGAUAGCAAGAAGAGGAGGGAAGAUGCUUAUCAGAGCCUUCAGGGAAAAGCAAAACUGUCCUGUAGAAGCACCAGGAAGAUGUCCAACAGUGCUGUAGCUGAAACCUGGGAGAUGGGGACUAAGCUGGGAAGCUGGACUGCCCUGAUUGAGUGUUGAUCUUCACCCUUGAUGGAGAGAGCCAUAUUCUUAGUUGGCCCUCAGCUUCAUGGCUAAACACUGUGGGUUAAGCAUCCAGGGUUUGUUAAGGAGAAAUGCUUUGUACCUGUUUUUGAUAUUUCCUUCCAUGUGAUGUGUGGCUUUCCUGAUUUGCAUUUCCUCACAGGAGGGUUUCUUGGGGUACUUUUCCACAGACUCACAUUUUCCACCACAUUUUCCAACCUAGUCUUUGUGAAUAAUAAAUGUGGA
rnacentral:lncRNA from 1 species